CAUUACCCACUCAGGUAAUUUACAGGUUCCUGUAAAUUCCACCCAGAACUCUGCUGGCUGCAGUUUCCUCCAGCACAUUUGGUCUUCAGGGCCUGACUGUUAUUUAGGGGAGACCAUUUCUGACAUUUGUUUACUAGAAAGCUUCCUGUUGUACCAGAGUCAAACCAAGUCACUAACCUGCCCUUGCUGGACUCCACCUCGUGAUCCUCCCACCUCCCAAAGUGUUUGAAUUACAGGCCUGGGCUACCAGGACCAGCCGUCCAUCACAAUGUACCAGCAGCGUGAUUAUCCAAGGCUCAGGCUGAAGAGAAUCUGGCGGAUGCAUAGAAACUGGAAUACUUCCUUUUUUUUCUUCCUGGUAUUAGUGGCUUUGAGUAUGGGAAUAUUCUUCAUUGUGCAGAACCCCUCUGACCCCAUGGCCAUCAUCCUUGGAAUAAUGUUCAUAGUAGCCAGCUUGUGUUUAUUCAUCUAUAUGUGUUUGUUGGCGUGGGGUAGAGCUAUUAAGCUGUUGCUGAGAAGACUGCAAACGGGGCAGUGGGAAAGGAAUUUCUGACAGUGCAGAACAGGACUUUCCAGGACAGCCAGCUCCUCCCUGUAAUUCCAUGAAGCCUUCUAAGUAUUGUUUUUAAUAAUAAAAUAAAAUUUGCCUUUGAAAGUU